rnacentral:rRNA from 1 species
CUCCAGACUCCUACGGGAGGCAGCAGUGGGGAAUAUUGCACAAUGGGGGAAACCCUGAUGCAGCGACGCCGCGUGAGCGAUGAAGUAUUUCGGUAUGUAAAGCUCUAUCAGCAGGGAAGAAGAUGACGGUACCUGACUAAGAAGCCCCGGCUAACUACGUGCCAGCAGCCGCGGUAAUACGUAGGGGGCAAGCGUUAUCCGGAUUUACUGGGUGUAAAGGGAGCGUAGACGGCGAUGCAAGCCAGAUGUGAAAGCCCGGGGCUCAACCCCGGGACUGCAUUUGGAACUGUGUGGCUGGAGUGUCGGAGAGGCAGGCGGAAUUCCUAGUGUAGCGGUGAAAUGCGUAGAUAUCAGGAGGAACACCGGCGGCGAAGGCGGCCUGCUGGACCGUGACUGACGUUGAGGCUCGAGAGCGUGGGGAGCAAACAGGAUUAGAUACCCUAGUA